rnacentral:rRNA from 1 species
AUUGAACGCUGGCGGCAGGCCUAACACAUGCAAGUCGAGCGGUAGCACAGGAGAGCUUGCUCUCUGGGUGACGAGCGGCGGACGGGUGAGUAAUGUCUGGGAAACUGCCUGAUGGAGGGGGAUAACUACUGGAAACGGUAGCUAAUACCGCAUAAUGUCGCAAGACCAAAGAGGGGGACCUUCGGGCCUCUUGCCAUCAGAUGUGCCCGGAUGGGAUUAGCUAGUAGGUGGGGUAAUGGCUCACCUAGGCGACGAUCCCUAGCUGGUCUGAGAGGAUGACCAGCCACACUGGAACUGAGACACGGUCCAGAGUCCUACGGGAGGCAGCAGUGGGGAAUAUUGCACAAUGGGCGCAAGCCUGAUGCAGCCAUGCCGCGUGUAUGAAGAAGGCCUUCGGGUUGUAAAGUACUUUCAGCGGGGAGGAAGGUGUUGAGGUUAAUAACCUCAGCAAUUGACGUUACCCGCAGAAGAAGCACCGGCUAACUCCGUGCCAGCAGCCGCCGUAAAAC